rnacentral:rRNA from 1 species
UGUGUAGGCGGCCCUGAAAGUCGGAUGUGAAAGCCCCGGGCUCAACCCGGGAAGUGCACCCGAUACUGCAGGGCUUGAGUACCGGAGAGGUUGGUGGAAUUCUCGGUGUAGAGGUGAAAUUCGUAGAUAUCGAGAGGAACACCGGUGGCGAAGGCGGCCGACUGGACGAGUACUGACGCUGAGACACGAAAGCGUGGGGAGCAAACAGGAUUAGAUACCCUGGUAGUCCACGCCGUAAACGAUGGGUGCUAGGUGUCACGGGCUUUGACUCCUGUGGUGCCGUAGCCAACGCAUUAAGCACCCCGCCUGGGAAGUACGGCCGCAAGGCUAAA